UUUUAAUGGAAUCACAUCUGAGUACUUGAAUGCCUAUUUUCUCUAAGAUACUCUUAGGCUCUGCAAAAAUGAAUAAGUUAUCUCUCUUGUCCUCAGAGUUUUACCUGCUGUAACAGAGAUUGCUGAUUGUACAUCAGACUCUUCCUUUGUGGCCUACCCUCCCUUUCACGUGUAUGUGUCAUGUGACUAAGUACUGGGGCAUUGAUUCUCCAUUCUCUAUCCCUGUCUGGUCAUUGAUGCCCAAGAUGAACUCCAAGCCAUGUGUGGAAGAUGGAAGAAUUACUGUCAGAUGGUCGUUAAAUGACUACAUGGAGCAAAGGCCCACUCCUUGCCCCAAGAAAACAUUUGUAUUGGAGACAUGUGUGGAUUAAAAUAAACUUCUUGUGUUAAACCACUGAAAGUUUUGACUGUAUUUGUUAUUGCAAUUAGCAUUACCCUCAGGCAACUUUUAGUAGGUAAUAUAGUAAUUCUAGAGUAAGUAUUUGAAUUCUCAAGAAUGAUUAAUGUAUGUCUUCAUUUGUAAUGCGUCCCAUUUGGAAAAA
rnacentral:lncRNA from 1 species